CACGUAGGGGGCGAGCGUUGUCCGGAUUUAUCGGGCGUAAAGAGCUCGUAGGCGGUUCAGUAAGUCGGGUGUGAAACCCCCGGGCUCAACCCGGGGACGCCACCCGAUACUGCUGUGACUGGAGUCCGGUAGGGGAGCGUGGAAUUCCUGGUGUAGCGGUGAAAUGCGCAGAUAUCAGGAGGAACACCAGCGGCGAAGGCGGCGCUCUGGGCCGGUACUGACGCUGAGGAGCGAAAGCGUGGGGAGCGAACAGG
rnacentral:rRNA from 1 species